GCGAACGCUGGCGGCAGGCCUAAUACAUGCAAGUCGAGCGCCCGCAAGGGAGCGGCAGACGGGAGAGUAACACGUGGGAACGUACCCUUCAGUUCGGAACAACCAAGGGAAACUUUGGCUAAUACCGGAUACGUCCGAAAGGAGAAAGAUUUAUCGCUGAAGGAUCGGCCCGCGUCUGAUUAGCUAGUUGGUGGGGUAAUGGCCCACCAAGGCGACGAUCAGUAGCUGGUCUGAGAGGAUGAUCAGCCUCACUGGGACUGAGACACGGCCCAGACUCCUACGGGAGGCAGCAGUAGGGAAUAUUGGACAAUGGGGGCAACCCUGAUCCAGCCAUGCCGCGUGAGUGAUGAAGGCCUUCGGGUUGUAAAGCUCUUUCGCACGCGACGAUGAUGACGGUAGCGUGAGAAGAAGCCCCGGCUAACUUCGU
rnacentral:rRNA from 1 species